rnacentral:rRNA from 1 species
UUAGUGGAAGCGUCUGGAAAGGCGCGCGAUACAGGGUGACAGCCCCGUACACAAAAGCGCAUGUGCUGUGAGCUCGAUGAGUAGGGCGGGACACGUGGUAUCCUGUCUGAAUAUGGGGGGACCAUCCUCCAAGGCUAAAUACUCCUGACUGACCGAUAGUGAACCAGUACCGUGAGGGAAAGGCGAAAAGAACCCCGGCGAGGGGAGUGAAAAAGAACCUGAAACCGUGUACGUACAAGCAGUGGGAGCCCCACCACCAAAGCAUUCUCUGGUGUUGAAGGCCCUGCAAAGCAGCAUCGCGGUGGCGGAGCGUCGUUUGCGACGCCCAACACACAAAACAAGCGGUGAGUGCUUUGGGGUGGGGUGACUGCGUACCUUUUGUAUAAUGGGUCAGCGACUUAUAUUCUGUAGCAAGGUUAACCGAAUAGGGGAGCCGGAGGGAAACCGAGUCUUAAUUGGGCGUUAAGUUGCAGGGUAUAGACCCGAAACCCGGUGAUCUAGCCAUGGGCAGGUUGAAGGUUGGGUAACACUAACUGGAGGACCGAACCGACUAAUGUUGAAAAAUUAGCGGAUGACCUGUGGCUGGGGGUGAAAGGCCAAUCAAACCGGGAGAUAGCUGGUUCUCCCCGAAAGCUAUUUAGGUAGCGCCUCGUGAAUUCAUCUCCGGGGGUAGAGCACUGUUU